AGCCUCUCCUCCGCUCUCGGCCAAUCGCCGUACUCCUCGCGAUCCCCACUCGUCGCUACAUUCAGUUCCGUCGUUCCGCUAUUUCUGCCAGAUGUGCGAAGAAAAGUUUCCCGUUGCUACCUGAAACCCCGUCUGGAAUUCCACGCUCGCAAAUUGUCGAAACACCGGGUGCUUUUCGAAGGUGAACUUGAGUUCGACCGAUUGUUCUUUACUUAAAUCACGUUCGCACGGACGAUCUCAACUUGAUGUGUUUUCGAGAUAGGAUAGGAUACGACCAUCUGCGCGUUCUUUGAAGAACGAAAGGAGCAACGCAAUUGGGGAGAGACGGCGCAAUUGCUCUUAGCUUAGCUGUCAUCAAGAUUGCACCGUCAGGAUUGGAAAGAGGUUAACGGAAUCUCUCGAACCUAAUUGUUGCUGAAGAAUCUAGCUAAUUUUAGACAUGGCUAUUACAAUCAAAUGUCUAUGAAACUAUCUCAAAUAUUGGCAUAUUAGUAGACAAGAUUAUAUUAAUCCAGGCAUUAUCUAAAAUAAUAUCAAAUAAUACAACAGAUGGUAGAAUUCAUGCGAUGGUUGCAGAACUGAUAGCAGACUUCCGCAUGCAACUCCCUCGAGGGAUAUGAAAAAAAAAAACUUAGCAAGCAAAUAUUUGUUUGCCGAGCUGCUUUGAGGCAUCGCGCGGCAUCGACGCGUCUAUUUUUAACUUCUCGUGUUGAAGUUUUGAAAAACAAACCUAUAAAUUGCACCAGGCGCAAAAUCCAACCAAAAUCUCUACUGUGAGAUCACUGUCAAUGCUGAGCACCUGUUAUGUAAUACCUGCUAACGUUCGUUGGAUCGAGUAUACUCGUUUUCCGCGGAAAUAAACUGAGCCAAGAACGCCAGAAUAAGAAUUAAAAAAAUGAGAUAUACGGCAAAAAGAAACUGAUAUGAGUGAAAAUUGAUGAACAAACACAUUCAAGUGCAGUCGCCCGGACAUGUGCAAGCCUAAUGAAAGAUAUUUGUAAUUGCCUCUGAUGAAUCGGUCUGAUGGCUUCGACCAAGUUGAGGAGUUGCCAAGAGGCGAAAUUAAUUGAAACCAACGCAGGCGACAUGAGAUUAUGUGACAGAAGAGAAUUACAUUGUGUGGAAAAGUAGUAGUUGGGAAAAUAUAGGAAUGCGAAAUAAGUUCGAAAUGAAAACCUCUGCUUCUUAGCUCGAUGAUGACGCGCGUACGUACUAACGGACUGUUCUCUUCGGAACAUUAGCGAAAAGACGCACGUGCCAUCCGCCACGACGUCUCCGCGACGACGUGAUUACGUAAGGAAGUUCGUACCGCAAAUCGAUAUCAUCGCGAAGUUCUUAUCCGUAAAAUAGCAAUGAUUUAGAGAAGUUGUAAGAGUCGAUUUAGAAGUUUUAGUUCUUAUUUGGAAAAACUCUUGAAACUUGUUUGACGAUACUCUUUGUUUUUAAUAAGAGUUUAUAAGAAUUUAUAUAAUA